UGGGGAAUUUUGGACAAUGGGCGAAAGCCUGAUCCAGCAAUGCCGCGUGUGUGAAGAAGGCCUUCGGGUUGUAAAGCACUUUUGUCCGGAAAGAAAUCCUCUGGGUUAAUACCUCGGGGGGAUGACGGUACCGGAAGAAUAAGCACCGGCUAACUACGUGCCAGCAGCCGCGGUAAUACGUAGGGUGCAAGCGUUAAUCGGAAUUACUGGGCGUAAAGCGUGCGCAGGCGGUUUUGUAAGACGGAUGUGAAAUCCCCGGGCUUAACCUGGGGACUGCAUUCGUGACUGCAAGGCUAGAGUAUGGCAGAGGGGGGUAGAAUUCCACGUGUAGCAGUGAAAUGCGUAGAUAUCAAGAGGAACACCUGAGGCGAAGGCGGGUUGCUGGGCCUACACUGACGCUGAUGCGCGAAAGCCAGGGGAGCAAAC
rnacentral:rRNA from 1 species